UUCUAAAUGUAUUUUUGUAUAUAACAAAUCUAUGAAGUAGCCUACCUUAUUUUAUUCGAUUUUCCUUUUUUGUGAUGUGUAUAUUUAUGGAUGAUGUGUAGCCUAUUGUAAUUUCUGUAGGCCUACGCUAGCCUAUGCCUCUAAAUAAUGUAAAAUGUAAUUGAUCUAUAUCGAGUUUCUGGAUAUUUAUUGCAAUGUUCUAGAAGUAAGACUGUGUAAUGUUAUGAUAAUGUAGUUUCACUACACGAUAGUGUGGAACGUGCACGUGAUUCGGGUCCCUGCUUAUAUCGCACCUGUGAUUUGUUCCCAUAAUUACCUGUCAAGUAAACACGACGUAUGCGUGACACACUGCUAACAUACUUUCAAAAACAAAUCCUAAAUAAAUAUCAAGCUUUAACUACGUCGGCCUAGGGCUGACAUUUAUUUUCACAUUGUUUGCUUGUAAACCAGCAGCCAUCUGAAUUAUAUAAUUAGAGUUCUUUACAAUGUUUCUAACAGGCCUAUAUCGCAAAGAAUAUCAAACAAAGUAGCCCAAGUCGGUCAGCAAUUGCUUUUCUAAAUAACAUAUUCCGCCAUUGUUGAAACAAGCUCUCCGACGCUAAACAUGACAUUUAAGCUGCUAGCUAAACAAAUAAUUGGUCGAUGGCUUGGGUGAAAAGACUGACAAGCACGUGUAGCAGACAGCCAGAGUUGAAGCUCCAAGGAGGCUGAAGUAAACCAGGCAUGAACCAGCAGGCUGUUACGCAUCACUACAGUCCUCGGAGGAGAGAGGUGUAUUCAU